AGUCGUAACAAGGUAGCCGUAGGGGAACCUGCGGCUGGAUCACCUCCUUAAUCGACGACAUCAGCCUGCUGAUGAGCUCCCACACGAAUUGCUUGAUUCAUGGUUGAAGACGAUCAAGAUCCUGUAUGGAUCUUGUGUUGUUGCUGGUCAGAACUUGGAAAUGAGCAUUCGUUUCGAAUGUUGAUCUCUGACUUUUGUCAGAUCGUUCUUUAAAAAUUCGGAUAUGUGAUAGAUAUAGACUGAUGACCAGUUUCACUGCUGGUUAAUCAGGCUAAGGUAAAAUUUGUGAGUUCUGCUCGAAAGAGCAACAUGCGAAUUUUCGGCGAAUGUCGUCUUCACAGUAUAACCAGAUUGCUUGGGGUUAUAUGGUCAAGUGAAGAAGCGCAUACGGUGGAUGCCUUGGCAC
rnacentral:misc_RNA from 1 species